UACGUAGGGUGCAAGCGUUGUCCGGAUUUAUUGGGCGUAAAGAGCGUGUAGGCGGUUCGGUAGGUCCGUUGUGAAAACUCGAGGCUCAACCUCGAGACGCCGAUGGAAACCCUCGAACUAGAGUCCGGAAGAGGAGAGUGGAAUUCCUGGUGUAGCGGUGAAAUGCGCAGAUAUCAGGAAGAACACCGGUGGCGAAGGCGGGUCUCUGGGAAACAACUGACGCUGGAGGAACGAAAGCGUGGGUAGCAAACAGG
rnacentral:rRNA from 1 species